GUGAGUUAUUUAGGCAAGGGCAACUUUCUAGUAGCAACACCACUGAGAAAUAUGGCUCCCCUUCCUCAGUAAGCACAGCUGUCCCACGAUCCUCAGGAGCUCCCGCCUCAUUCACAGCCCCAGUCCUGCACAGGUGACCACAGCUGUCGCCGUUGGUAAUGGGCACAGGAGAUAUAGCAGUUCACACUACACCUCCCUACUACCCUCUGGCUCUUAGUUUUGUUUUGUUUUUUUCCAUAUCCCCCCCCUCUUCCAAGAGGUUCUUUGAACCUUGAAGGAGGUAGCACAGAUGCUCUGAUAGGGUUCAAUAGUCAUUUAUUUUGAGCACUUUGACCAGUUGUGACUCUGUUAAUCAUUAUCCAUUGUAACACAAACAGCUUCUUUAUCCAAGGCUGAGGUCAGCACUAACCUGUGGAUAUAAAUAUUCUGAAGACAGUUUGCUGCCAUGUCCAUUUAGCAAAACAGUAGUAGUAGGUUCUGUGUGUGUUUAUGUAUAUGUGCAGAUAGGUAGGUAGGUAGGUAGGUAGGUAGGUAGGUAGAUAGAUAGAUAGAUAGAUAGAUAGAUAGAUAGAUAGAUAGAUAGAGGCCCCACCCUAAAUCUGUAGUAUUUAUAGGUCUCAUUUUUACAUCUGUGUACAUAUGUAUGUAUACAUCCUUGUGCAUGCGCACAUGCUCAGACACCCUGGCAUUCAUGUGGAGAUCUGCAGGAGUCUGCUUUCUCCUUCCACCAUAUGACUUUGGACAGCAAGCGCCUCUGACCCCUGACCUGUCUUAUCACCUUCAAUUUUUUGAAGCAGAGCAUCUCUUUGACUUCACGUCCAUCCCAGCCUUCACGAACCCUUUAAACUUGACCCACUUAUUCCUGACUAGUACUUCCCAACUGCAGCUCCACAGCCAGCUUCUCAUUAGGCUCACUCUGUAACAGCCUUCUGGGCCCUUUCAGGUUUUGGGGUUUUUUUCACUGUGGUGACAGCAGUAUAUGAAGAGGCAUUUACCUUCAAUAUCAUUACUCCUAAAGUCUGGGAAUGGAGAGAGAGCACUUACUGCUCUUAUAGAGGUUCAGAACCCAGCACCCAUCUAUCCACUCAUCAGUUCCAGAGAGUUCUAUGCCCUCCUCUGACCUCUGUGGCAGUUCACAGACUUAACGUUCAGGGGAAACACCCACACAACAAAAAUAUAAAUAAAAAUAUUUAAAUUAAAAGGGGGCUGGAGAGAUGGAUCAGUAGUCAAGUGCACCUGUUGCUCUUGCAAAGGACCAGAAUUCUGUCCCCAGCACACAUGAUGGCUCACAACCAUCAGGUCGAGAUCCAAAACUCUCCUGGCCAUGGCACCACAGAUACGACGGUGCAUGCACAUACAUACAUGAGGACAAAACAAAUCAACGCACAUAAAAUAAAUAUUUUAAAAAAGAAAUAAUAGCUGGGCAGUGGUGGCACACGCCUUUAGACCCAGCACUUGGGAUUUCAAGGCCACCCUGAUCUAGAGAAUGAGUUCCAGGACAGCCAGGACACAGAGAAGCCCUGUCUCGAAAGAAAUUUAAAAAUGGGAAGGAGAGGGGAGGGAAGGGAAAGGAAAAGAAGAAAGGAAAAAGGAAAGGAACGGAACGGAUGAAUGAAAGUUACUUUAAUGUCUUGGUUUAUACCGGCCCGCCCAGCCCUUGAACUCCCUAGGAGGCUUUCAGUCCGGGUAACCUCCGCCUUCCCCAAGAUGGCGCCCGCCUGGGUGGCCAACCUCCGCUGGGGAAGUGGCUGGAUGGUGAGCGGCGAUUGGACCUCUCAGGAAGGGGGCGGGACCGGAAGGUGGGCUCGGUGAGUCGCGGGUCCUCCGGGCAUCCUCUUGGGAAUGUUGAGAGGUGGCAGCAUGACGGCGGAGCUGGGAGUCGGGUUCGCGCUGCGGGCCGUGAACGAGCGAGUCCAGCAGAGUGUGGCGCGGCGGCCGCGGGACCUCCCAGCCAUCCAACCCCGGCUCGUUGCGGUCAGCAAAACAAAACCUGCAGACAUGGUGAUCGAGGCCUAUGGCCACGGCCAGCGCACUUUUGGAGAGAACUAUAUUCUGUCUUCCUGUCCCGAGAUCAAGUGGCACUUCAUUGGUCAUUUACAGAAACAAAACGUCAACAAACUGAUGGCCGUCCCCAACCUCUCUAUGCUGGAAACCGUAGACUCGGUGAAGCUGGCAGACAAGGUGAAUAGCUCCUGGCAGAAGAAAGGUCCUACAGAACCACUGAAGGUGAUGGUCCAGAUUAACACCAGCGGAGAGGACAGUAAGUGACUAGGCCUGACCAUGGAGGUUUGCUCUCUUGAGAUGGCUGAGGCUCGGGGAGAGUGUGAGUGUAAGCAUCUGCUGAGGAGACUGUGAGGAGAAGCUCCAGCCUCCUGGUGAGCUGCUUCGUCAAGAUUCACCAGUGUGAUGACCCAAUAUAAUUCUUUAAUAUAUUUCGGCUUGUUCGGUAUUGAUUUGGAAGAAUUAUAACUUUGAUGUCCUGGAAAUUCCCUCCUGGAAGGGAUUGGGAAUUGUAUGUGUCAUACUUCUUAGGACAAUUACCCAGUACUUUAUUGGGCAAGAGUAGGAAAAAAAAAAUGCUGCUGUACACCAGUGAGUGACUGUCUCAUGGGGCCUGGCUUAGCAGUGUGGCCAUGAAUUACAGAGAACCGUGACUUUGACAUCAGACAAAUGUCUGCCUGCGCUCCACCACUUUCUAGCAUUGGAACUUUGCGUCAGUUACCUAAGCUCUCUGUACCUGAGUUUCCUCCUGUGGCAGUGUCAUCGGGGAGUGCCCGUUGUUAGAGGGUGUGGUGAGGAUUCUGUGCAGUGAGUGAUCCAGAACCCCGGAUUUCUUACUUGCUCACUUUCUGUUAAGAGUGAAUGGCAGGCACUGGCUUACAACUGUCUUCUAGGCACUCACACGUAGCAGAUCUUGGCACGAAGGAGCUCAGUACAGACAUCUGUUUUCCAGAUGCGCCCUGCACUCAAAUCUCAGGUGCACAGUUCUCGUCCAUAAACUUAGGAAAAGACUUAGCCCACCUGCCUUAGUUUCCUCUGAAAACUGGUAUAAGUAAGAAUAUUUAGAGUUUCUGUAUGAAAUGAAAAGUCGUGGGGCUGGCACAGUGGUCAGUAGAUUACCAGUUACCAUUAUAAUGUUAUAUGCAUGCUCCCUGACUAUGGCUUCAUUGCAUAAAAGCAGAUACAAAAUUGACUCCAGAGUGUCUUUCAUUUCUUGAUAAUUACCUGUGAUUUGCCCUGAUUAAAUAACAGUGAAAGUUCCUCCGUAGUCCAUUUAGUAAAUAGGGGCAAAGGCAAAGCAAUAUUAAUAGUCUUUAAAAUACAUAAAAUUCAUCCAACCGUUCUUAACUAGUAAGUUAAACUUCGCAAUUUUACAGUCCCAACUUUAUUAUGUAUUAUGACUUAUUUUUGCAGCUCUAUUAAUAAAUUGAUUAAACCAUAAAAAUGUCAGGUUUAGAAAAAAGUACUGAGAUUCAUCUAGGACUUUGGCAGUGUGACCCUCCCUAGUGUCCCAAGUCAUAUGUUUGUCUCUUUUCUAUUUCUGUGAUAAAACGCCAUGACCAAGGCGACUUAGAGACGGAAAGGUCUGUGUGGCUUAUGGUUCCUGAGGGUAAGAAUCCAUGGCCAGGGGAGCAUGGCCGCCUGAGAGAAGCCCAGGCCUCGCAUCUUGAACCACACACAUGGAACAGAGGGAGGACGAGGAAGGACAUAGGACUUUGAAACGUCACAGCCGGCACCCAUGAUGUACUUCCAGCAAGGCAACAUCUCCCAAACACAGCCAAACAGUGCCAAAACCUGGGGACAAAGCAUCCAAGCAUGGAGCCUGUGGGGGACAUCCUCAUUCAAGCCAUAACAUAUUUUCUUCUUCUCUGGCUCCCCUAGCCAUUCCCAGCUAAAGUCCUGUGGGAUGUGUCUUCGUGGUACCACUUUGUGUAUGCAGAACCAUGGGUUCAGUCUCUGGCUCUAAAGAUAAUAAAGAGAGUCCUGAGAUGGAGUAAAGAGAAAUCAUCUUGAGAAACGCAGAGCCCAAGUGGAAGACGCCCAGGCAUGAAGGACCUCACAUACACAGUCACUCUUUAGGGCCAGGGAAAGUGACUUCAUCAGGUGUUCAUCUGAGUCACCUCUGUUGUAAGGAAGGGAUGAAAAUGGAGCCUUCUUCUGGCUAGUUAAGAUGUGUUGGCAUACACAUCUUCCAUUUCUCUUUGUGAAGGUAAACACGGCCUGCUGCCUUCAGAGACCAUAGCUGUCGUGGAACACAUAAAGGCCAGUUGUCCCAGCCUGGAGUUCGUGGGUCUCAUGACCAUAGGAAGCUUUGGACAUGAUCUAAGUCAAGGACCAAACCCAGACUUCCAGAGGCUGCUGACCCUGCGGCGGGAGCUGUGUGAAAAGCUGGGCAUUCCGGUGGAGCAGGUGGAACUUAGCAUGGGCAUGUCCAUGGACUUCCAGCAUGCUAUUGAAGUAGGAUCUACAAAUGUCCGGAUAGGGAGCACUAUUUUUGGAGAGCGGGACUACUCAAAGAAGCCUGCCCUAGACAAGACAGCAGACGCGAAGGCCUCAGUACCACUGGUGCAAGGACACUGAGGCCAAGCCGCUCAGGGUCAACCAUGCACCAGCCUAGUUCAUUUGGUGUCCGCAUGUCCCCAGUCACACUCUUCCGUGGCCUUUGUAGAGCGCUGAAGAUUAUACAUGUUGACGGGAAUCACCCGUGCUUAGCUUCGGCUAUAGGAAGCUCGGGUCAAGCAGUGACUUAGGCUGUGAGACUUCAGAACCGACACCAAUUUAGCCAGGACCUGAGUUCGGUUGAGCACUGCUCAGGAAUACCCAGCCCCUCACAAAUGCGUGUCCCCAAGUGACUUUUGGGUUGCUGGUGUCUAUAAUUGAGAAAAUCAGAGGGGUUCCAUUUUCCAUCUAAUAGAACACCCUGCUGUCCCCGCUACUCUGGAGUGAGGUGAUUCUGCUCCCAGUUUCCAUCCUGGCCUUAGAUGUCUCCAAUCACAGCUCCUCUGUGGCACUGACUGAAAUUCCAGGGUAACUUGUAAACUGCUCUUGGGCCUUUCUUGCUGUAAAAGAGGGACUUGGAGCUUAUUCCUCGAGGACCACGGUGAUGGAAAGUGGAUGACAGGAUUUCUUCACCAUCAUAAUCCCUUUCUGGUUUUUAGUAAAGACUUGGAGAUGAAAGCCUCCAGUCCUGGCGCAUGGUUUCAGCAAGCCUCACUUGCUUUUCCUCCUCUGGGGAUCAGCUAUCCCCAGGACACACUGUAUUCACAAGCCAGAAUGGUGCAGCUCCUGACUGUUCACAGUGCCGUAAGAGCUCCAAAAAUGAGGAAACAGCUGGGCCUAGUAGCACCUGCCCGUAACCCCAACAUUUGUGGGAUGCAGCCAGGAAGAUCAGGAGUUCAAGGAUAAACAAAGACUAAGUCAGACUCUUCUUUAUCUAAAAACAACAAUAAACCAGAAAGCACAGUUCUGCAGUGAUCACAACGGCUUGCGUGUGGGCUGCUUAGCUUAUUUCCUGAUAGCUUUUCCGCUUGUUUCCUCCAGCCCUCACAUCCUUCAUUUAACAAAUAACUUCAGAACCCGUUGCUGCUGAAUGUAAUUUCCAGACUUAAACCACUAUGAUUCUUGUUCUGUUUCAAUCAAAGCUAGCGCGGUCUUUCAGUUUGUUAAAUACAAAUGUGAGCUUGAAUUAUACCAUCUGUGCCAACUCUAAAGCCAUUAAAGAUUUAUUUUUAUGA